GGGGCAUUAGCUCAUCUGGUAGAGCGAUUCGUUCGCAACGAAUAGGUAGGCGGUUCGAGUCCGCUAUGCUCCA
rnacentral:tRNA from 1 species